GGCCGGUUAUCUCAGUUAGUUGAGAGUAGCACUAACAACGCUAAGGUCGUGGGUUCGUUUCCCAUGCAGUCCC
rnacentral:tRNA from 1 species